UUCUCUGAUGUUAGCGGCGGACGGGUGAGUAACACGUGGAUAACCUACCUAUAAGACUGGGAUAACUUCGGGAAACCGGAGCUAAUACCGGAUAAUAUUUUGAACCGCAUGGUUCAAAAGUGAAAGACGGUCUUGCUGCCACUUAUAGAUGGAUCCGCGCUGCAUUAGCUAGUUGGUAAGGUAACGGCUUACCAAGGCAACGAUGCAUAGCCGACCUGAGAGGGUGAUCGGCCACACUGGAACUGAGACACGGUCCAGACUCCUACGGGAGGCAGCAGUAGGGAAUCUUCCGCAAUGGGCGAAAGCCUGACGGAGCAACGCCGCGUGAGUGAUGAAGGUCUUCGGAUCGUAAAACUCUGUUAUUAGGGAAGAACAUACGUGUAAGUAACUGUGCACAUCUUGACGGUACCUAAUCAGAAAGCCACGGCUAACUACGUGCCAGCAGCCGCGGUAAUACGUAGGUGGCAAGCGUUAUCCGGAAUUAUUGGGCGUAAAGCGCGCGUAGGCGGUUUUUUAAGUCUGAUGUGAAAGCCCACGGCUCAACCGUGGAGGGUCAUUGGGAACUGGAAAACUUGAGUGCAGAAGAGGAAAGUGGAAUUCCAUGUGUAGCGGUGAAAUGCGCAGAGAUAUGGAGGAACACCAGUGGCGAAGGCGACUUUCUGGUCUGUAACUGACGCUGAUGUGUGAAAGCGUGGGGAUCAAACAGGAUUAGAUACCCUGGUAGUCCACGCCGUAAACGAUGAGUGCUAAGUGUUAGGGGGUUUCCGCCCCUUAGUGCUGCAGCUAACGCAUUAAGCACUCCGCCUGGAGGAGUACGACCGCAAGGUGA
rnacentral:rRNA from 1 species